AGAGAAUGCACAUUCACCUGUUCAUACGUCAUGUUCAGGAAGAAACUAAAUGUUAAUGGUGCUAAAACAGCCAUCGUCAAAUGGUGCGGUUGGAGUCUUGUUCUUGGACUUGAAUUUUUUUUUUUUAAUGACUUGGACUUGAACACUGGGGACUCGAGACUGGACUCAGACUCAAGGUUUAGUAACUUGACUACAACACUGCUGUCUGUAUCUAUCAUUUAAGACUCACAGAUUGCCCAGUCAUGCUACAGAGUCUGUCAGGCGUUCGCUGCAGGAAGUCCGAGAUGCGCUGAACAAGGAAGUCACGAUCUUUGAGCGGAAUAUGGUCAUGCCUCAACCUGAGUUUCGCAGCCGAAUGACGUACGCGUACCACCACAGGGAACCUGAACACAAGUGCAAGGCAACGUAUCUCAACCACUUUACCACUGGACAACAAAAUUUGUAUCUUUAUUUACAUAAGAUCAAGAAGGUCCUGGGUUCGAGCCCAGUGGCCGGCAAGGGCUUUUCUGUGCAGAGUUUGCAUGUUCUCCCCGUGUCUGUGUGGGUUUCCUCCGGGUGCUCCGGUUUCCCCCAAAGACAUGCAGGUUAGGUUAACUGGGGACUCUAAAUUGACCGUAGGUGUGAAUGUGAAUGGUUGUUUAUGUCUCUAUAUCAGCCCUGCGACGAUCUGGCGACUUGUCCAGGGUGUACCCCGCCUCACGCCCAUAGUCAGCUGGGAUAGGCUCCAGCUUGCCCGUGACUCUGCACAAGAUAAGCGGCUACAGAUAAUGGAUGGAUUUUUAAUCCAGUAUAUAUUUUUUUAAAUUCGCUUUUUUAAAAAUAACCUGGGAUUAUUUACUAACAGCCAGAGCAGCCAUGAUAUAUUUUUUACCAUAUUAACAUGCCAUUGUUGUGUGUUAUGCCUGAUGUCAAGACUCUCGUCUCUGUGAGCCUACCACACAGACUUAAUACUUGUCAUUUUUAGGGCAUACCUAACAUGCGUUUUCUUUCUCUCUCUCUCCCCCCCCAAUCUGUCCCUCGGAGUUACAUGUUGGUCCUGGGAUUGAGAUGCUGGCCUCUUCUGCCCCUCGGGCCUGCUUGGUCCAUCCUGGUGCCCUGUGUCCGGUUGGAGUUUUAUCGCACCGCUCCUGUGAAGGACGGCCCCAUGAGGACAGUUGAAAGUUACACCUGGAGGACGCUCUGGACUCUUACAGUAAUGCUUUUAUGGCUGAGGACUACAGUUGUCUUGCUAACUUUAGGACUGCAGUUAUCAUGAACAGUUUUGCACUCAAGUUUCCAUCAAUGAAAAGUUACAAUAUCAACGAAACUGUCCUCAUGUUAAAACUGUUAUAGUCAUGCUGUCUGUUGUUGCCCAAAUGAGGAUGGGUUCCCUUUUGAGUCUGGUUCCUCUCGAGGUUUCUUCCUCAUGUCGUCUGAGGGAGUUUUUCCUUGCCACCAUCGCCACAGGCUUGCUCAUUGGGGAUAGAUUAGGGAUAAAAUUAGCUCAUGUUUUAAGUCGUUAAAAUUCUGUAAAGCCGCUU